AAGGUAACAGCUGUCAACAGCUGUGAUAAUUUCUAUAAAACUUUAUUAGCUUUCUUAUUAUAAUUUUUUAUUUAUUUUUUUCCUUUCAAGGGAAUAAUAUUAUUUUAUUGUAUUAAUUUUCUUCUCCCUUAAUUAUAUGCCCUAGAUUGGAUUUCCACUCCUCCAAAACCCUCUUCUUCCCAAAAAGACCACGAUCAGUGCUUCCACACCGCCAACGAUGGGGAGUUUAGGGGGUACUGUUUACACGACCACCACCAUCGCCACCCACAUCAAGAAAUAGGGUAGAGAAACACUACUCCCAAUCGGAUCAACAGACGGAUUGGAGGCCGAGUUGAUGCAGAGCGCCAUGGCUCUUCAACAAGCAAAAAGGAGAAACAUCUACUUCUGGAGUAUUGAUAGAGGAUGUCAUGCACUUGAAAAGGGAAGAUAAAUAUCAGGAACUUGUUGAGGCAUACGUCACUUUCGGUUGUGGAGAGGUUCAAAGCGGUUCAUUCCUUGAUGUUGCAGCUCCCAAUGGUUUAUUUGGGCUUGGAAUGGAGAAGAUAUCAGUACCUAGCAUUUUAUCGAGGGAAGGGUUUAUAGCAAAUUCUUUUUCCAUGUGUUUUGGACAAGAUGGGGUUGGAAGAAUUAGUUUUGGUGACAAGGGCAGUAUCGAUCAGCAAGAGACC